UGGAGUCUGGCAUUGAAGGGAGGUGACCUUCAACAAUUUUUUAUCUUGUAUAAAGAAGUUUAAUCUACAAGAGGUAAUCUGAAAAUGACAGGGGCAGAGAGGAAAAAGAAAAGCAUACUCUGGAGUAAGAUGCGUGUCCCCGAUUGUGAAGACUUUAAACAGUGGUGUAGACGGCGGCUGCCUAUUUUGGACUGGGCGACACAUUACAGUCUGAAAGAAAACUUGCUUCCGGAUACUGUUUCUGGGAUAAUGCUAGCCGUUCAACAGGUAGCACAAGGGCUGGCCUUUGCUGUUCUGUCAUCUGUGCAUCCAGUGUUUGGCUUGUAUGGGUCUCUGUUUCCCGCCAUCAUUUACGCCAUAUUUGGAAUGGGGCGUCAUGUUGCCACAGGCACUUUUGCCUUGACGUCCUUAAUAUCAGCUAAUGCAGUGGAACGACUUGUCCCUCUGAGCAGCCAGAACCUCACCACACACGGUAACACAAGUGUGCUGGGAUUAUCUGACUUUGAGAUGCAAAGGAUCAGUGUUGCUGCAGCUGUUUCCUUUCUGGGCGGUGUGAUUCAGGCGGCCAUGUUUGUGCUCCAGCUGGGCAGCGCCACAUUCCUGAUUACAGAGCCUGUGGUCAGUGCAAUGACAACCGGGGCGGCCACUCAUGUCGUGACUUCACAAGCCAAAUAUCUCUUGGGAAUGAAAAUGCCGUAUAUAUCUGGACCACUUGGAUUCUUUUAUAUCUAUGCAUAUAUCUUUAAGAACAUCAAGUCUGUGCGACUGGAAGCACUGCUCUUAUCCUUGCUAAGCAUCGUGGUGCUUGUACUGGUUAAAGAGCUGAAUGAACAAUUUAAGAGGAAAAUUAGAAUUGUCCUUCCUGUUGAUUUAGUUUUGAUUAUUGCUGCAUGUUUUACUUGUUAUUGUACCAAUAUGGAAAACACGUACGGAUUAGAAGUAGUUGGCCAUAUUCCAAAAGGAAUUCCUCCACCUCGAGCUCCCCCUAUGAACAUCCUCUCUGCAGUCAUCACUGAAGCCUUUGGAGUGGCACUUGUAGGCUAUGUGGCCUCACUGGCUCUUGCGCAAGGAUCUGCCAAAAAAUUCGGAUAUUCAGUUGAUGACAAUCAGGAACUCCUGGCCCAUGGCCUCAGCAAUGUGAUCGCUUCGUUCUUCUUCUGUAUACCAAGUGCGGCUGCCAUGGGAAGAACUGCUGGCCUGUAUGGCACAGGAGCAAAGACACAGGUGGCUUGUCUAAUAUCCUGCGUUUUUGUCCUGAUAGUCAUCUAUGCAAUAGGGCCUUUGCUUUACUGGCUGCCCAUGUGUGUUCUUGCAAGUAUUAUUGUUGUGGGACUGAAGGGAAUGCUAAUACAGUUUCGAGAUUUAAAAAAAUACUGGAAUGUGGAUAAAAUUGACUGGGGCAUAUGGGUCAGCACAUACUUAUUCACAGUAUGUUUUGCUGCCAACAUUGGGCUGCUGUUUGGUGUUGUGUGUACUGUAGCUAUCGUGAUCGGUCGCUUCCCAAGAGCAAAGACUCUGAGUACAAAAAAUAUGAAAGAAAUGGAAUUUAAAAUGAAGACAGAAAUGGAUGAUGAAACCCUGCAGCAGGUGAAAAUUAUCUCAAUAAACAACCCGCUUGUUUUUCUGAAUGCAAAGAAAUUUCAUACUGAUAUAAUGAACAUAAUCCAAAAAGAAAAUACUGGAAACCAACCACUUGAUGAAAUCAGAAAGCAUGAACAAAGCACAUUGCUCACUUCUCUGAGUGGCAUUUGCAACGAAGAAGCUACCCAGCCCUGCUUGAAUCCAAAGUGUUCUUUAAUCCUGGAUUGCAGUGGAUUGACUUUUUCUGACUAUUCUGGAGUCUCCAUGCUUGUUGAGGUUUACAUGGACUGUAAGAACAAGAAUGUGGAUGUGUCUUUGGUCCAUUGCACAGCUUCCUUGAUAAAAGCAAUGAAAUACUGUGGAAACCUAGAUUCAGAGAAACCAAUUUUUUUUGAAUCAGUGUCUGCUGCAUUAAGUAACAUGCAUCUAAAUAAGAAUUUGAGCAUCCUCAGUGACCCCGGUGAAGUCUGAGACUCUUUUGCUGCAGUACCGGUCUUUUCUUUAGCAACUUCCCUGAAAAGGUCGUAGUCAAGCGUUUUGCACAAACUUUUUCAUUGUGUGGAGCCUACAAAUGGCUUUUCUGACAUGUGUGUGACUUUGUAACUGCAUAGCCCCUGCUCAAGGUUUGCCAACAAUUUUAUCUAAUCUUUGUCAGUAAGUAAAUUCACUUUGUAGGUUAUUGUAUACUUAUUUUAUAAAAAUCAAUAUGCGUUUAGUUUUAGUGUACUGAAAAAUAAACAUGAAUUUUUUUCCUUUUUUUAAUACCACAAUAUUUUGUGUUAAUUUAGUUUUGUUAUAGGUUGAUUUGUAAAAGUGAGAAGUAUUUUCUCCUAUCAUAGGAGAUUUAGAACAUUUGCAAGUCAUUUGUAAAAAUACAAGAUCAUAUGUAUAAUACAAAGAAACAACUUAUCAAGUGUGCCAUAUUCCACUACCAAAAAAACCAUUAAAUAUCAAUAAGCCAUGAAAUAUUCAUGUAAUAUGAUAUGAAAUUCAUAGAAAGUAAGUCAAACAAAACAAAUGAAAAAUUGGAAACCAUUCUUCUUCAUAUCUUUCCAUGCCUGGAAGUCUUCAGGAAUGUUUUUACGUCACUAGUAUCCCAGUAAAAUCAAGUUCUUGACUUUGGUUUUGUUGUGACUAUUAAAAAUGUUUAGGAUCUUCAGGCCUUAGCCCUAGUUUGCACAUCCCCACCCCAUAAAAGUCUCUAUUUUCAGCUUAAGUUUUGUUGGAACUAGAAAAUUUGGAAGUUGCACAUUUUAUGUUUUUUUUUUUUACAAAUAUGAUUUAUAGAUGAGAAAGUAUCAAUAGCAGAAUAACUUUGUGCUAGUCCAAUGUAGGAUUAGCUACAGUAGUUGGAGACUUUCCUAUUUCAGAGAGAUAGUCAAUACAAUAUAAUACAUUUAUCUGUCUAAGAUAGAUAGAUCUCCAGGGAAUGCUUUAUUUUUUUCUUUUGUUAGAGAAGACUUAGAUAAAUGCUUAUCUGUAAACCCACUAAAUCAACAGAGUAAUUGACAAGUAAAACCACAGGCUAGGCUGACUUAUAUAAGUUACUGUUUUCAUGUUUAUACAUAUAUUUCAAAUCACAUAGUUUCAUAUGUUUAUCUAGCAACUUGAUUUACCUAUAAAAAUAUCACUUUGAAAAAUAGGUAUAGAUACAUGCUUUAAUCUUAAGGCAUUUUAGCUGUUCUAGAAAGUACCAGUUAACAAAAAGCCAAGUACUUUGAAGUGUUUGAGAAAGAGUUUGCAAACAAAAUGAAAAGGGUUUAAUUUUAGGUCAUUUAGGUGUUUUUCUGGUCAUCUGUAAGAGAAAAUUCUAAUAUCUGCCAAGUGAUGUAAUGGUCCCUAGCAAAUGUAUAACAAACAUUCGUAUGGCCCUUGUUUUUACCAUUAAACUCUAAGCAGACAAUGUAAAAGAGGAAUACUAAAUAUUUCAAAAUUUUAUAACCUAUUUAGCUAUGUUAAUUUUGAUUGACAUGAAAUGCAAAGAUAGUUUUUGUCCCACAGGAAGCCUCAAUCCCUUCAUCACUAAUUUGGAAUUGAAAUGAGUGAAGCCAAUUUUCCUUCCCAUCAAAUACUGUUCCAAGAAAAGGUGGAAGUAAUAGUUGAAAGUAAACUUUCCUUAAAAAGAGGAAUUUCACUCUGCUUUGCCUGGUUAAAUUAUUCCAGUUGUGGAUGGUGGCAACAGUCACCGUCUCUAAUCCAUUGGUCACGGCCACACAAAUUGAUGUAUUUCUAUGCAACUUUGGCCUAUGAUUAAAUUUAUGCACUGUAGACAUUUUCUAAUUUGUUAGAGAUUAUGGACUGUAGAUGGAAUAAAAAUCAUUACAGUUAAUUAAUGGAUAGUUUCUAUUUUUUAUUGAAGCUAGCAUAUAAUUGCUUGAAAAGAUGUACUUGAAUGCACUUCAGUGUUUAUAGUAGAUAUUUAAUGGAUAAAACUUAAAAGUCAUAACUUUUAUCAAAUAUUAUUAUUUUCAGAGUAAAAGAAUAUCAAAACAAAGGUACCAUAAACCCUUUGUUCUAAGGCUUAUUCUGCAUGCUAGGUCACAGUGACUGUAGACCAGAAGGAACGCCCUGGAAUUAAGUCUUGAAAGCCCAGUAACUCAAUAUAAGUUUCACAUGCACAAGAUCCUCCUAAAAUAUACAUGUUUAUUUCAAAACAGAUAUUGAUAAUAGAAGAACUACAGUAAGGUCCUGAUGCUAGAAUGUUUCUAAUCAUGUUGAACUAUUUUUAUGAGAUUAUUUAUUUUUGUAUAUGAUAAACUACUUAUAUAUUACUUAUUAUGGUAAAAUAAAAUAGGGAAAAAUUAAAACUGACCUAUAAGAGUGUUAAGGACUUAACAGAGGGACAUACAAUAUACAAAUUAACCAUAAAGCAAGUAACCAGGAAAAGACUGUUAAUAUUACAUUUAUACAGAUUGAAUGUCCUUAAUUUACCAUUUGUCUUUCAUUUUAAAGAUUAUUUGCCCCCAAUUGUAUGAUUCUAGUGUUAAAAGUCUAACUUGAAUUACUUUGCAGUAAUUUGACAGAUCUCUACUGUGUAAAUGGGUAAUAUAAUGAGAAAAGCGAUCUCUCUUUUUUAAUGAAAAUGUUAAUGUAUUAAUACCCUGAAUGGAUGAUGCUUGACAGUUAGUGUUUACCCAAAUAUGUUAAUAUGUUUUUGAAUAUACAUAUGACUGGAAAUGCAUGUUCUACAUUCUGUGGGAUGAUCAUCUACUUCAACAUAGACUAUCCUUUUUAUGGUGAUUUUGUUGCCAAUUUUUCAAUAGGGAGUUUAGUGAGGCUUGCACAAUAUAGAGAUUUUUAGUUACAAAUCAUAUCUAAUAUGCCACACUUAUAUUUUUAUGUUUCAAUACAUUUAAUUACUUUUUAAAUAAUCCUUUGCAAUGACUCAGCAUAUAGCAAUCGAUUUACAUGGAAGAUAAACUGAAAUAUUACUGUGCUUAAAUGGAUUUCUAUUAUUUCAAAGUACUUAUUGAAGAGCAAAUAGUACAUUUUGCUUGCUUAGACUGACCUACAGUGUAUUAUGUGUUGACAAUUACUGGAUUCAAUAUUCUUUGUAAUUUAUUCUUACAAAAUUUCAGCCUAAAAUUGUAAAGUGUUGUAUGUCAAUUUACAGAAGUUUAAUAAAGCUACUUUUUGCUGCAAUACUACUUUUACACAG